UGCCAGACUCCUACGGGAGGCAGCAGUGGGGAAUAUUGCACAAUGGGGGAAACCCUGAUGCAGCGACGCCGCGUGAGUGAAGAAGUAUUUCGGUAUGUAAAGCUCUAUCAGCAGGGAAGAAAAUGACGGUACCUGACUAAGAAGCCCCGGCUAACUACGUGCCAGCAGCCGCGGUAAUACGUAGGGGGCAAGCGUUAUCCGGAUUUACUGGGUGUAAAGGGAGCGUAGACGGCGGCGCAAGCCAGAUGUGAAAGCCCGGGGCUCAACUCCGGGACUGCAUUUGGAACUGUGUGGCUGGAGUGUCGGAGAGGCAGGCGGAAUUCCUAGUGUAGCGGUGAAAUGCGUAGAUAUUAGGAGGAACACCAGUGGCGAAGGCGGCCUGCUGGACGAUGACUGACGUUGAGGCUCGAAAGCGUGGGGAGCAAACAGGAUUAGAUACCCGCGUAAAC
rnacentral:rRNA from 1 species